rnacentral:rRNA from 1 species
CCUACGGGGGGCAGCAGUGGGGAAUUUUGGACAAUGGGCGCAAGCCUGAUCCAGCUAUGCCGCGUGUGGGAAGACGGCCUUCGGGUUGUAAACCACUUUUGUAGAGAACGAAAAGUCUAUUGAUAAUACCGAUAGAUGAUGACGGUACUCUAAGAAUAAGCACCGGCUAACUACGUGCCAGCAGCCGCGGUAAUACGUAGGGUGCGAGCGUUAAUCGGAAUUACUGGGCGUAAAGGGUGUGCAGGCGGUUUUGCAAGAUGGAUGUGAAAGCCCCUGGCUUAACCUGGGAAAGCCAUACAUGACUGCAAGACUAGAGUGCGUCAGAGGGGGGUGGAAUUCCAAGUGUAGCAGUGAAAUGCGUAGAUAUUUGGAAGAACACCGAUGGCGAAGGCAGCCCCCUGGGACGCAACUGACGCUCAUACACGAAAGCGUGGGGAGCAAACAGGAUUAGAUACCCCAGUAGUC